rnacentral:rRNA from 1 species
GACGAACGCUGGCGGCGUGCUUAACACAUGCAAGUCGAACGGUAGGGCCCUUCGGGGUACACGAGCGGCGAACGGGUGAGUAACACGUGGGUGAUCUGCCCUGCACUUCGGGAUAAGCCUGGGAAACUGGGUCUAAUACCGGAUAGGACCACUGCCUGCAUGGGUGGUGGUGGAAAGCUUUUGCGGUGUGGGAUGGGCCCGCGGCCUAUCAGCUUGUUGGUGGGGUGAUGGCCUACCAAGGCGACGACGGGUAGCCGGCCUGAGAGGGUGACCGGCCACACUGGGACUGAGAUACGGCCCAGACUCCUACGGGAGGCAGCAGUGGGGAAUAUUGCACAGUGGGCGCAAGCCUGAUGCAGCGACGCCGCGUGAGGGAUGACGGCCUUCGGGUUGUAAACCUCUUUCAGCACCGACGAAGCGCAAGUGACGGUAGGUGCAGAAGAAGGACCGGCCAACUACGUGCCAGCCGCCGCAGUAA